rnacentral:rRNA from 1 species
GACGUAGGGCGCGAGCGUUGUCCGGAUUUAUUGGGCGUAAAGAGCUCGUAGGCGGCUUGUCGCGUCGAAUGUGAAAACUCGGGGCUCAACUCCGAGCUUGCAUUCGAUACGGGCAGGCUAGAGUUCGGUAGGGGAGACUGGAAUUCCUGGUGUAGCGGUGAAAUGCGCAGAUAUCAGGAGGAACACCGGUGGCGAAGGCGGGUCUCUGGGCCGAUACUGACGCUGAGGAGCGAAAGCAUGGGGAGCGAACAGG